UAAUUCAUAAGUCGAAGAAUUGAAGGAUAAUGUGAACAUUACAUGACAGUUUGAAUGUUGCUCCUCUCCCUUCCCCCAGAAUUCAAUCCUAAAGCCAUUAGGUGGAACUGAGCAAGGUAAGAGGAGCUACAGUGGCCAGAGGGGGUAUCAAGGCCCAAGGAGGAUGAGGAGAACAUCUCCUCAGGCAUGGGGGGGUGGGGACACAGCCUCACUGAGGAAUCAGCCUGAACAGAGUGCAAAGUGUCUCUGCAGGGACCUGGUGUGGGAAGCCUGACGCUCAGUUCAGCAGGGAGAGCAGGGAUCUGUAGGGAGAGGAGUGGUGGUGGAGAUGGGAGAUUGGUUGCAUACGGGGGGUUGAUGCUGCAAGUAACUAUCUGAGGAUUAAUGAAAGCUAGGCUUCUCACUGUUGGAGAAGGAAUUACACAUAUGGAAAGGGAGAAAACUAAAAUGAACAUGUGACAUUGGAUUUAUCAGUGUGAAGUCAUGGUUUUCAAUACAUACAGAUGGAUAUAGAUGAAAUUUAAUUAUGUGAUCCAUACAGACGUAUACUUCCUGGCUCUGUUUUCGGGCACAACCUUGGAGCAGUGAUAUUCCAAUAACAAUGAGCACAUGUAGCACCCAGAUCAAGACUUCAAAAUACCAUUUGCCAUUAAAGGAAAUAGGAAUUCUUGGAGAAAUGGCUGAUUCUGGGGCUGGGAAUAGAAAAAUACAAGAAAAGCCUGGAACUAGUGUCAGAAAGCAAGGAGGUGUUAAAAAAAAAUAAUGGGGCACGUGAAAAGGACCUAGAGGCCAGCUUAAAUGGACUUCUCCUAGCCAAAUGGGCAUAAUUUGACCAUCAAAAUUAAUACUGAUAGUCAUUGUGAGAAUAGCUGAUAGUAACUUAUGACAUGAAUCCAUGAAGCCAUGCGGAUGUGAAUGAAUGAAAGAACAAACAAAUGAAUUUGAAGUUUGAUGAGGAAUGGGAUACUUGCAUAACAUUACUGUACUUCUCCAUUAAGUACUUAUUAAUCACAAAGAGAAAAAAAGUAAGAGUCAUUGGGAAUUACAGAUACUGAAAUGCUCUUGAUAAAAAAAGACAUUUCUUCCAUCUCUGCCUGUUUACUAAAGAAAAAUAAAGGGCGUUUGAAUUAUGUUCUACUCUGUUUGGAAUCUUCUCUUUUUAUCUGGGCCUCUCUGGGUUUUUAUUUGUGUACUUAAGGAAAUCUUAGUGGGAGCAUAUUUGUAAUUCUAAAGCAGGCUGCAUAUGUAUACUCACAUAGCAUAACCAAACCACAAUUUUAUGCAUACUUUUUCUCUUAAAUUCUGCAGUUCUUAAAGGAAAAGGUGGAUGCAGUGGUGUGUCACAACUGUUAUUAGAGAAGUCCAAGGGAAGAGAGUACAACAUGAUGAUCAACCUUGGCAGUUCCCACAUACAGCGUGAUUAUAUUGUAAUACUGUUUGAUGCAAUCAUAUGUUUGAUCAGUUUCAAGAGAUGAGUAUCACCUCACUUCAAACAAUGUGAUACAGUCUCAUUGUAUGGAAUUAUGGCUGCUGUCAAUCAGCAUAUGGCAUAACCCUUAAAGUGCUAUCUUUGUGGAAUGUUGUAAAGAUGAUUGCAACACUGCAUUUGCAUUAAUUAGAAAGUUUUUGCACUAAAACCAUGAAGAACCUCUCUGCUAUCUCUCUGUUCAUUUCUUAUUUUUGUUACAGAAACCCAUACACACACAGGCACACAUAUAUCCAUACAUGCAUACACUCAGCUGAUUAGCCCAACUAAUAAAAAUAUCAUGAUUUUUCCCCCUUCUGGAUGGAUCUGUAAAUUAUAUAUCUAUAUUUUGAUUCACAGUCCCAAAUUUACCUGUACCUCGAACCAACUAUCUUAUAAAAAUGGAGAGGGAGAAACUAAAGGCAAACAGUAAAUUAUUACUAGGUCUGUGGUCUUGACAAAAAGAACUAAAAAUUUAAUCUCGACUAAUGACAAAUGAAUGGCAUGUGGACCUACUUAUAUAUGAUAAAAACAGAAUCAGAGUCUUUUGAAUGUCGUAAUUUCAUUUUGCUAAUGCUAAUUGUUACAUACAGCAUUUUGAGGGAAUAAAGUUUAUGAUCUCUUUCUACAUUUACAAUGAAAUAUUUUUCUUCUUGGUCAGGGUGUGUUUCUUUGUUAUUGGUUGUGGACUUUAUCUUAGGUUUUGCCAUCAUCACCUGCUAAUAUCUGUAAUUUCAAUUUUUCCCAAUGGAUGCAUAAUUUGAUGUGGUAAAUACUAAUUUGACCUGAGACUUAACACGCUUUCCAACGUGGGUAAUACCUCCAGAUUCAAUGGGUUUAUUGGCAGUGUAUCAUCCAUUGGAAUAUUGUGAGCCUUUUCCCAGGAAUGCCUCUCCACUGGCAGUCUCUUUCCCACUUUUUCCCAGAUUCCUUUACUCCCUCUAUCAACAGAGCAAUCACCUGAUGUGGUAGGCAGACUUCUGAGAUGGCACCCGGUGAUUCUCACGUCCUCAUAUUCGUAACUUUGUGUAAUCCCGUUCUCUUGAGGGUGGGCUGGACUUAGUGACUUGCUUCUAACAAACAGAACAUGGCAAAAGUUGUUGGGUUUCACUCCCAUGAUUAGAUUAUAAAAGACUAUGACUUCUGUCUUGCUAGCAGAGUCUCUCUUGCCAGAUUCAGUAUUGGAGAGGCCAGUGGAGUAAGAAACUGAGGGCAGCUUCUGGUCAAAGGCAACAAGGAACUGAGAUUCUUAUUCCAAUAGCCUGUGAGAAACUGAAUCCUUCUAACUACUACCGAGUGAGCUUGGAAGCAGAUCCUGCCCUGGUUGAAGCUUGGUAUGACAGCUGGCACCAGCCAACAUCCGGAAGAGCCUGAAGCAGAGGCCCCUGCUAAGCUGUGCCCAGCCUCCUGAUCUGUAGAAACUAUUCUUUCUCACAUCGCCACAUCGUGUCAGCAGCUUAUUGAGUUCUAGGCUUUGUGGUAGAAUCGUUGACAAUCCCACAAGAGCCUUCAAAUAAAAUUAGAGGAAAGUCAGACAUCUGUUAAGAGGCAUGGCCCAUGGCACCCAGGGGUGUGAAUCCCUCUGGCAACACAGGAAGUGACUCCUGGAGAUGAGUCUGGACCCAGCACUGUGGGAUUGAGAGGAUCUUCUUGACCAAAAGGGGAAAGAGGGUUGAAACAAAAU